rnacentral:rRNA from 1 species
GACAGAGGCCUCGAGCGUUAGGCGGAAUCACUGGGCUUAAAGCGUGUGUAGGCGGACCUCUAAGUACCUUGUGAAAUCCCACGGCUCACCCGUGGAACCGCUGGGUAUACUGGGGGUCUUGGGCCACUCAGGGGCGACUGGAACAAGCGGUGGAGCGGUGAAAUGCGUAGAUAUCGCUUGGAACGCCGAAGGUGAAAACAGGUCGCUGGGAGUGCGCAGACGCUGAGACACGAAAGCCAGGGGAGCAAACGGG